CGGGGGGGCGAAGCGUUGUUCGGAAUUACUGGGCGGUAAAGGGACGUCGUAGGUGGCCAACUCAGUCGGACGUGAAAUCCCUCCGGCUUAACCGGGGAACGUGCGUCCGAUACUGGAUGGCUUGAGAUCGGGAGGAGGGAUGCGGAAUUCCAGGUGUAGCGGUGAAAUGCGUAGAUAUCUGGAGGAACACCGGUGGCGAAGGCGGCAUCCUGGACCGACACUGACACUGAGGAGCGAAAGCCAGGGGAGCAAACGGGAUUAGAUACCCCGGUAGUCCUGGCCCUAAACGAUGAAUGCUUGGUGUGACGGGUAUCGAUCCCUGUCGUGCCGAAGCUAACGCAUUAAGCAUUCCGCCUGGGGAGUACGGUCGCAAGGCUG
rnacentral:rRNA from 1 species